GGACACUGGUUUUUACCAAGUAUCCCCAAAAUAAUUAGAAGACUCCACCCGUAUCCCUCUUUUAUCUCUCUAAGUCUUGACUCCACCAUAGGCCUGGCCACUCUAUCGCUCUCUCUCUCUCUCUCUCUUCUCCCUCCUCAUUCACAAGUGGCGGCGAUGGUGGUGGCGAUAGUGAAGGUGGUCACGAGCGAUAACGAUGGUGCUUCGAAUUCAAGGGUUUCAAUUGGUCGUCAUGGUGCAUGGAGAAGAUGAAUGGUCGUUUGGGUAUUGUGAACAAGGAACUGGAGUCUUUAGCUGCCCUGCUACAAAAAACCCCAUGUAUACAUACCAUGAAAAAAUUGUUCUUGGACAAACCAACCUUUCUGUCUCCAAGGUUAAUCAGAUCUUGAGGGAACUGAGUUAGAGAGUGGCUAGGGGAAUCCUAUGAUUUGCUCGCACGAAAUUGCAAUCACUUCUGUGAUGAUUUAUGUGAAAGGUUUGGUGUUCCAAAACUUCCAGGAUCAAAAGGAUCAAGAUGAAGGAUUGCUUCGGAAAGUGAUGAUGCCACAAGAAGCGUGCUUACAUAUACAAGAUCGAGAUAAACUUUUUUUCUUUUACUCCCGGGAGUGAAAACUUUGGAGCUUUCGGCUAACUAUAACCGCUGCUGCUGUCACGUACUAUUAUUGGCUUACUGCUGUAUUGCUGCUACUAUUGCUUACUGCCGGUUUUGGCUGCUAUUGUUGUUUGCUGCCACUGGUGGCUACUACUACUGUUUGCUGCCACUAUUGGCUGCUACUGCUGUUUGCUGCCACUGCUAUCUGCUAUUGUUGUUUGCUGCGACAUACUGCCGUCUGCUGGUAUAUAUUGAUAUCCGAUUUGUAGGUACUAUUAUUGGUGCUGUCGUUCUGCCACUUAGCUUUUGCUAUCAUACUGCUAUCGCGUUGACUAUUUUUGGAAAAUUUGGAGCUUUUUCUUAUUUCGUCCCUUUUUCCAAGCUAGAAACCAAAGCUGUCUUUCUUUUGUUUUGAUUAUUAUAUUGUUUGACCAAACAUAAAAUUGGUGUUUAUGGAUAAUUUUUUGUAAGAAUUAUGAAAUUAUUUCAAUUCAAAUUAUUGUUUAUCA